rnacentral:pre_miRNA from 1 species
GGAAAAUGAAGACAGAGCGCCCUCCUUGUUUUACGCGGUCUCUCAUCGAUUAGGGAAGUGUGAGAUCGUGUAAAACCAGGAGAGCCAUCUUCUGACUUCCAAUCC